rnacentral:rRNA from 1 species
AACGAACGCUGGCGGCAGGCUUAACACAUGCAAGUCGAGCGCUCCGCAAGGGGAGCGGCAGACGGGUGAGUAACGCGUGGGAAUCUACCCAUCUCUACGGAAUAACGCAUGGAAACGUAUGCUAAUACCGUAUACGUCCUUCGGGAGAAAGAUUUAUCGGAGAUGGAUGAGCCCGCGUUGGAUUAGCUAGUUGGUGGGGUAAAGGCCUACCAAGGCGACGAUCCAUAGCUGGUCUGAGAGGAUGAUCAGCCACACUGGGACUGAGACACGACCCAGACUCCUACGGGAGGCAGCAGUGGGGAAUAUUGGACAAUGGGCGCAAGCCUGAUCCAGCCAUGCCGCGUGAGUGAUGAAGGCCCUAGGGUUGUAAAGCUCUUUCACCGGUGAAGAUAAUGACGGUAACCGGAGAAGAAGCCCCGGCUAACUUCGUGCCAGCCGCCGCCGUAAGAC